rnacentral:lncRNA from 1 species
GGUGGACCCAGGAAUGACCACUCUGGAGGUCCAGGGGCAAGUGGUCCUCAGGGACAGAGAGGGAGGCAGAGGCCACUCCUGGAAUCAUCCUGACUGUGAGGCAGAUGUGGAGAGCUGUAUAAGAUUCUCCCCUUUCCUUAUAGGAGGCUCUGUGGAAGACCGUGGGCCAGAGCAUCAGCCAGAAUCAGACAGAACACGAGAAGAUUUCCUGACCCACAUGUCAGCUGGCUGCAGACUGAUGUGUUGA